GAUGAACGCUAGCGGCAGGCUUAAUACAUGCAAGUCGUGGGGCAGCAUGAGUGUAGCAAUACAUUUGAUGGCGACCGGCAAACGGGUGCGGAACACGUACACAACCUUCCUAUAAGUGGGGAAUAGCCCAGAGAAAUUUGGAUUAAUACCCCGUAACAUAACGAUGUGGCAUCACAUUGUUAUUAUAGCUUCGGCGCUUAUUGAUGGGUGUGCGGCUGAUUAGAUAGUUGGCGGGGUAACGGCCCACCAAGUCUACGAUCAGUAGCUGAUGUGAGAGCAUGAUCAGCCACACGGGCACUGAGACACGGGCCCGACUCCUACGGGAGGCAGCAGUAAGGAAUAUUGGUCAAUGGACGCAAGUCUGAACCAGCCAUGCCGCGUGAAGGAUUAAGGUCCUCUGGAUUGUAAACUUCUUUUAUCUGGGACGGAAAAAGGCUUUUCUAAGUCACUUGACGGUACCAGAUGAAUAAGCACCGGCUAACUCCGUGCCAGCAGCCGCGGUAAAAC
rnacentral:rRNA from 1 species